GACGAACGCUGGCGGCGUGCCUAAUACAUGCCAGUUGAGCGCUGAAGGUUGGUACUUGUACCAACUGGAUGAGCAGCGAACGGGUGAGUAACGCGUGGGGAAUCUGCCUUUGAGCGGGGGACAACAUUUGGAAACGAAUGCUAAUACCGCAUAAAAACUUUAAACACAAGUUUUAAGUUUGAAAGAUGCAAUUGCAUCACUCAAAGAUGAUCCCGCGUUGUAUUAGCUAGUUGGUGAGGUAAAGGCUCACCAAGGGGAUGAUACAUAGCCGACCUGAGAGGGUGGUCGGCCACAUUGGGGCUGAGACACGGCCCAAACUCCUACGGGAGGCAGCAGUAGGGAAUCUUCGGCAAUGGACGAAAGUCUGACCGAGCAACGCCGCGUGAGUGAAGAAGGUUUUCGGAUCGUAAAACUCUGUUGGUAGAGAAGAACGUUGGUGAGAGUGGAAAGCUCAUCAAGUGACGGUAACUACACAGAAAGGGACGGCUAACUACGUG
rnacentral:rRNA from 1 species